CCUGGUAGCUCAGAUGGUAAAGCAUCUGACUGCAAUGCAGGAGAUCUGGGUUCAAUCCCUAGGUCAGGA
rnacentral:tRNA from 1 species